rnacentral:rRNA from 1 species
AUUGAACGCUGGCGGCAGGCUUAACACAUGCAAGUCGAGCGAGCGGCGGACGGGUGAGUAAUGUAUGGGCAACUGCCUGAUGGAGGGGGAUAACUACUGGAAACGGUAGCUAAUACCGCAUACCCUCAGAUGCGCCCAGAUGGGAUUAGCUAGUAGGUGGCGUAAUGGCUCAACUAGGAGACGAUCCCUCGCUGGUCUGAGAGGAGGACCAGCCAGGCGGGAACGGCGAAACGGUCCAGACUCCUACGGGCGUCGGCAGUGGGGAAUAUUGCACAAGGGGCGCAAGCCUGAUGCAGCCAUGCCGGGUGUGUGAAGAAGGCCUUCGGGUUGUAAAGCACUUUCAGCGAGGAGGCGUUACUCGCAGAAGAAGCACCGGCUAACUCCGUGCCAGCAGCCGCGGUAAUUC